rnacentral:rRNA from 1 species
CAAGUCGAACGAGAAAGUGGAGCAAUCCAUGAGUAAAGUGGCGCACGGGUGAGUAACACGUGACUAACCUACCCUUGAGUGGGGAAUAACUUCGGGAAACCGAGGCUAAUACCGCAUAACACCUACGGGUCAAAGGAGCAAUUCGCUUAAGGAGGGGGUCGCGGCAGAUUAGUUAGUUGGCGGGGUAAUGGCCCACCAAGACGGUGAUCUGUAUCCGGCCUGAGAGGGCGCACGGACACACCGGAACUGAAACACGGUCCAGACUCCUACGGGAGGCAGCAGUGGGGAAUUUUGCGCAAUGGGGGAAACCCUGACGCAGCAACGCCGCGUGGAGGAUGAAGUCCCUUGGGACGUAAACUCCUUUCGAUCGGGACGAUUAUGACGGUACCGGAAGAAGAAGCCCCGGCUAACUUCGUGCCAGCAGCCGCGGUAAUACGAGGGGGGCGAGCGUUGUUCGGAAUUAUUGGGCGUAAAGGGCGCGUAGGCGGUCGGAUAAGUCUUGUGUGAAAUCUUCGGGCUCAACUCGAAGUCUGCACAGGAAACUAUCUGGCUUGAGUGUGGGAGAGGUGAGUGGAAUUCCUGGUGUAGCGGUGAAAUGCGUAGAUAUCAGGAGGAACACCUGUGGCGAAAGCGGCUCACUGGACCACAACUGACGCUGAGGCGCGAAAGCUAGGGGAGCAAACAGGAUUAGAUACCCUGGUAGUCCUAGCCCUAAACGAUGAUUGCUUGGUGUGACGGGUACCCAAUCCC